GCGGGCAGACGCCCGCGCCUUAAUGCAGCCGCCCGGAUGGGCGCGGGUCUCAAGCCCCGGCAAAUGCAGAGAGAGGA
rnacentral:ribozyme from 1 species